AUUUUAGGUGUGUGUGUAUAUGUGUAUGUGUGUAUAUAAACACACAUAUGUAUAUAUGUAUACACACAAUUUAAAUAC